rnacentral:rRNA from 1 species
CAACAGCUCAAAUUUGAAAUCUGGCCCCCGGGUCCGAGUUGUAAUUUGUAGAGGAUGCUUUUGGUGCGGUACCUUCCGAGUUCCCUGGAACGGGACGCCAUAGAGGGUGAGAGCCCCGUCUGGUUGGACGCCAAACCUUUGUAAAGCUCCUUCGACGAGUCGAGUAGUUUGGGAAUGCUGCUCUAAAUGGGAGGUAUAUGUCUUCUAAAGCUAAAUAUUGGCCAGAGACCGAUAGCGCACAAGUAGAGUGAUCGAAAGAUGAAAAGCACUUUGAAAAGAGAGUUAAAAAGUACGUAAAUUGUUGAAAGGGAAGCGCUCAUGACCAGACUUGGGCCCGGUUGAUCAUCCAGGGUUCUCCCUGGUGCACUCUUCCGGCCCAGGCCAGCAUCAGUUCGCUGUGGGGGAUAAAGGCUUCGGGAAUGUGGCUCCCUCGGGAGUGUUAUAGCCCGUCGUGUAAUACCCUGCGGUGGACUGAGGUUCGCGCAUUCGCAAGGAUGCUGGCGUAAUGGUCAUCAGCGACCCGUCUUGAAACACGGACCAAGGAGUCGUCUUCGUAUGCGAGUGUUCGGGUGUCAAACCCCUACGCGUAAUGAAAGUGAACGCAGGUGAGAGCUUCGGCGCAUCAU